GAGUACCACGGGACACGUGAAACCCUGUGGGAAGCAGGAGGGACCACCCUCCAAGGCUAAAUACUACCUAGUGACCGAUAGCGUAUAGUACCGUGAGGGAAAGGUGAAAAGAACCCCGGGAGGGGAGUGAAAUAGAACCUGAAACCCUGCACUUACAAGCUGUGGAAGCACAUUUCUUGUGUGACCGCGUACUUUUUGUAGAACGGGCCAACGAGUUACGUUAAGUAGCAAGGUUAAGCACUUAAGGUGCGGAGCCGUAGCGAAAGCGAGUUUUAACUGAGCGUUCAGUUACUUGACGUAGACCCGAAACCGGGCGACCUACCCAUGAGCAGGAUGAAGCGAAAGUAAAAUUUCGUGGAGGUCCGAACCCACGAGCGUUGAAAAGCUCGGGGAUGACUUGUGGGUAGCGGUGAAAUUCCAAUCGAGCCCGGAGAUAGCUGGUUCUCCCCGAAAUAGCUUUAGGGCUAGCCUCAAGGUGAGAGAUACGGAGGUAGAGCACUGAAUGUCCUAGGGGGUAUUGCACCUACCGAAGACUAUCAAACUCCGAAUGCCGUCAUCUUAUACUUGGGAGUCAGACUGUGGGUGAUAAGAUUCAUAGUCGAAAGGGCAACAGCCCAGAUCGUCAGCUAAGGUCCCUAAAUGUAAGUUAAGUGGUAAAGGAUGUGGGAUUGCACAGACAACCAGGAUGUUGGCUUAGAAGCAGCCACUCAUUCAAAGAGUGCGUAAUAGCUCACUGGUCGAGUGAUCCUGCGCCGAAGAUUUCCGGGGCUAAAACUUACUACCGAAGCUACGGCAUCA
rnacentral:rRNA from 1 species